rnacentral:rRNA from 1 species
GACGAACGCUGGCGGCGUGCUUAACACAUGCAAGUCGAACGGUGAAGCGCCUUCCUUUUUGGUGGGUGUGGAUGAGUGGCGAACGGGUGAGUAACACGUGAGUAACCUGCCCCCUUCUUCUGGAUAACCGCAUGAAAGUGUGGCUAAUACGGGAUAUUCUGGGUCUGUCGCAUGAUGGGUCUGGGAAAGAUAUUGUUUCGGUGGGGGAUGGGCUCGCGGCCUAUCAGCUUGUUGGUGGGGUGAUGGCCUACCAAGGCGGUGACGGGUAGCCGGCCUGAGAGGGUGGACGGUCCCACUGGGACUGAGACACGGCCCAGACUCCUACGGGAGGCAGCAGUGGGGAAUAGUGCACAAUGGGCGCAAGCCUGAUGCAGCGACGCCGCGUGAGGGAUGGAGGCCUUCGGGUUGUGAACCUCUUUCGCCAGUGAAGCAGGCCUGCCUCGUUUGUGGGUGGGUUGACGGUAGCUGGAUAAGAAGCGCCGGCUAACUACGUG